GCAAGAGUGAAACUCAAAGGAUUUGACGGGGGCCCGCACAAGCGGUGGAGCAUGUGGUUUAAUUCGAUGCAACGCGAAGAACCUUACCAGGGUUUGACAUGAUACGAAUUUCUCUGAAAGAAGAAAGUGCUGUUUGGAGCGUAUACACAGGUGGUGCCUGGCUGUCGUCAGCUCGUGUCGUGAGAUGUUGGGUUAAGUCCCGCAACGAGCGCAACCCUUGUUUUUAGUUGCCUUUUAAGGAACUCUAGAAAGACUGCCGGUUAUAAACCGGAGGAAGGUGGGGAUGACGUCAAGUCAGCAUGCCCCUUACACCCUGGGCUACACACGUGCUACAUUGGGCGAGACAAUGAGAUGCAACUCUGUGAAGAUUAGCUAAUCUAUAAACUCGUUCUAAGUUCGGAUUGUAGACUGCAACUCGCCUACAUGAAGGUGGAAUCGCUAGUAAUCGCUGGUCAGCUACACAGCGGUGAAUCCGUUCCCGGGCCUUGUACACACCGCCC
rnacentral:rRNA from 1 species